AGGGCUUGACAUAUACAGGAAUAACUUAGAGAUAGGUUAGCUCUUCGGAGUCUGUAUACAGGUGGUGCAUGGUUGUCGUCAGCUCGUGUCGUGAGAUGUUGGGUUAAGUCCCGCAACGAGCGCAACCCCUGUGAUUAGUUGCCAGCACAUAAUGGUGGGAACUCUAAUCAGACUGCCGGUGAUAAAUCGGAGGAAGGUGGGGAUGACGUCAAAUCAUCAUGCCCUUUAUGUCCUGGGCUACACACGUACUACAAUGGCCGCAACAGAGGGAAGCAAGAUAGUGAUAUGGAGCAAAACCCUAAAAACGGUCUCAGUUCGGAUUGAAGGCUGAAAUUCGCCUUCAUGAAGCUGGAAUUGCUAGUAAUGGCAGGUCAGCAUACUGCCGUGAAUACGUUCCCGGGCC
rnacentral:rRNA from 1 species